UACGGAGGGUGCAAGCGUUGUCCGGAUUUAUUGGGUUUAAAGGGUGCGUAGGCGGCCCUGUAAGUCCGUGGUGAAAGCCAACAGCUCAACUGUUGAACUGCCAUGGAUACUGCAGGGCUUGAGUACAGACGAGGUAGGCGGAAUGGAUAGUGUAGCGGUGAAAUGCAUAGAUACUAUCCAGAACACCGAUUGCGUAGGCAGCUUACUAGGCUGUAACUGACGCUGAGGCACGAAAGCGUGGGGAGCGAACAGG
rnacentral:rRNA from 1 species